rnacentral:piRNA from 1 species
GAGAAUCUCUGCAAGCUCAUGAA